rnacentral:lncRNA from 1 species
UGUACUUUUAUUGCUUAACCUUCUACUGAGGCUUCCACAUUGCCUAUCAAUCCAACAGUUGUGCUGCCCCAAUCUGCUAGUGGACCCAUGUUCAAGGCUCUUGAUGAUCAUUGCUAUACUCUUGAGCCUACAGUUAAGUUAAGAGGAACGCCAAAAUUUCUUACCAAGAAGCCUAGCAUACCAGAAAAAUCAGAGAAAAUAGUGGGGAAAGUGAAGAGUGUAGAAAAUGAUAUGGAAAGUUUCCUGGGACUUGUGGGUAAAGAAGAUGUUUCAUAUAAAUACUGGGGCAUGUCUUCAAGUAU